UACGGAGGGUGCGAGCGUUAUCCGGAAUCACUGGGCGUAAAGGGUGCGUAGGCGGGUCUUUAAGUCAGGGGUGAAAUCCUGGCGCUCAACUCCAGAACUGCCUUUGAUACUGAGGAUCUUGAGUUCGGGAGAGGUGAGUGGAACUGCGAGUGUAGAGGUGAAAUUCGUAGAUAUUCGCAAGAACACCAGUGGCGAAGGCGGCUCACUGGCCCGAUACUGACGCUGAGGCACGAAAGCGUGGGGAGCAAACAGGG
rnacentral:rRNA from 1 species